rnacentral:rRNA from 1 species
AAAAACMUGUYCUYUUGUKUUUUAUGUGRGGUYGUACCUGCCCAGUGAAUUUAUUUUAACGGCCGCGGUAUCUUGACCGUGCAAAGGUAGCAUAAUCAUUAGUCUUUUAAUAGAAGGCUGGAAUGAAGGGUUUGACGAAGUACUAUCUGUCUCAAUUUAAUAUUAUUGAAUUUAACUUUUGUGUUAAAAGGCUCAAAUUUUUUUGUAGGACGAGAAGACCCUAUAGAGCUUUAAGGUUUAUUUAUAUUAACUAUUUUUAUUUAAUUUUUUAGGUUAUUAUUUAAGCUUUUUUGUUGGGGUGACAAGAGAUAUAUAAUUAACUUUUAUUAUUUAUCAUACAUUUAUUUAUGGUUUUUAGAUCCAUUAUUAUUGAUUAUUAGAUUAAGUUACCUUAGGGAUAACAGCGUAAUCUUCCUCCAGAGUUCAAAUUUACAGGAAGGCUUGCGACCUCGAUGUUGGAUUAAGAUAAUAGUUAGGUGUAGUAGCUUGAUUUAUAGGUCUGUUCRACCUUUAAAAUCUUACGKGAUCUGA